AGUGUUGAUUAUAGAUCAGGUUUAUCAUGCGAGGCUUAGAAAACAAAAAGCACGAGCCUUGGCGAGUGCUUUUUCGUUUUCGUGCCGAGCAUGAUAAACCUGAUCUAUAAUCAACACUAACCUAUUAUUCUAUUUAUCCCACUUUUUAUUCAGUAAACUUUUUUUAUUUAAACAAAAUAAGUUUUCAUGAGUGUUUGUCGUACUUUGAUAAUGACUGUAGUGUAACCAAGGUCAGUGUAUUACUCCGCGUUCCAAAAAUAACCGCUGAUCAAAUAAUCAUUUUUUUAAAUCAGAAUAUCGUUCUGUAACAAAGUGUCGAGCGUUAUUAAUUACAAUUUUAAUCAUAUUGAAUUGCAAAUCUUUAAGUUUUAUGAUAUCAAUAUGACAUUAAGUUGUUAUAUACAAGGAACUACAUUUGUUUACAACGUAGCCUAACACCACACACAAUUCACUUUCGAUAUCAAACUAUCGAGUCGAUCACGAGGUGCACAAUAUUUCCUUCUUUGUUAUAAUAUUUGGUUAUUUCGUGACGAAAUAACAAAGAUUACUUGGAUUUAAGCUAAUUAUAUACAUUAACAUUUUGAAUGUUGAAAGUGGCACCAAAGAAUUGUGAGGCAAAGUUGUUCGAACUAGAGAAAGACAUUUGCUGGUGAAGUGACUGGGUGGGGCGAACAUCAAGAUCAACUUGUUCGACGGUAGACAGUGGUUGUUGGAAAGAUGCUUUGAAGAUAAAUCAGAUGGACACAUAUCCGAGUACAGCUUGUAAAUUAACACAGGAUUUCUUGGUCCAGACGAUUGUUUUCUACGGUCAAAGGGGAGCAACUCGAACUGACUUCUUCAAAGGGGAGCUACAACAACAGAACCUAUUUGCAUAGUGUUAAAUUUACCUAAUACUAGAGGUUUUAAUAAAAAUAAAUGACAAAAAAACAC